rnacentral:rRNA from 1 species
UGGGGAAUUUUGGACAAUGGGGGAAACCCUGAUCCAGCCAUCCCGCGUGUGCGAUGAAGGCCUUCGGGUUGUAAAGCACUUUUGGCAGGAAAGAAACGUCGCGGGUUAAUACCCCGCGAAACUGACGGUACCUGCAGAAUAAGCACCGGCUAACUACGUGCCAGCAGCCGCGGUAAUACGUAGGGUGCAAGCGUUAAUCGGAAUUACUGGGCGUAAAGCGUGCGCAGGCGGUUCGGAAAGAAAGAUGUGAAAUCCCAGAGCUUAACUUUGGAACUGCAUUUUUAACUACCGGGCUAGAGUGUGUCAGAGGGAGGUGGAAUUCCGCGUGUAGCAGUGAAAUGCGUAGAUAUGCGGAGGAACACCGAUGGCGAAGGCAGCCUCCCGGGAUAACACUGACGCUCAUGCACGAAAGCGUGGGGAGCAAACAGGAUUAGAUACCCUGGUAGUCCACGCCCUAAACGAUGUCAACUAGCUGUUGGGGCCUUCGGGCCUUGGUAGCGCAGCUAACGCGUGAAGUUGACCGCCUGGGGAGUACGUCGCAAGAUUAAAACUCAAAUGAAUUGACGGGGUC